rnacentral:tRNA from 1 species
UCUAAUUUAGCAUAAAAUAAUGUAUCAAUUUUAGAAUUUGAAGAUGAAGGAUUUCAAUUAGUA